UACGUAGGGUCCGAGCGUUGUCCGGAAUUAUUGGGCGUAAAGGGCUCGUAGGCGGUCUGUUGCGUCGGGAGUGAAAACUUACAGCUUAACUGUGAGCGUGCUUUCGAUACGGGCAGACUUGAGGCAUUCAGGGGAGAACGGAAUUCCUGGUGUAGCGGUGAAAUGCGCAGAUAUCGGGAGGAACACCAGUGGCGAAGGCGACUACCUGGCCUGUUCUUGACGCUGAGGCGCGAAAGCUAGGGGAGCAAACGGG
rnacentral:rRNA from 1 species